rnacentral:lncRNA from 13 species
CUAUUAUAUAAAGAGGAUCUGUGAGUGUUACUUGGUCUUGUAAGCUAUUUUUUUUUUUUUUUUCAGCAAAAUGUUGUGAGCACCUACAGUGUGCCAGGCAGUGUUCUGAGAACUCGUUGUACGGGAGUGAAUGAGAUCACCUUAAUUUUGAGAAGUUUAUCAUCUACUCAAGGGAAACACGUGUAAUAAACUACAAGAUGCCCUGCCUGGCAAGGAGAGAGUCUAGUCACAGUCUCCCUGCAGAGGUGUUGCUGAGCUGCCUUGGGCUCCACCCAGCUGCUGUGUAAACUUCCUUGCGAUCUUGUUUACACAGAUUGAUUUCCUCACCUUCCUCUCCCAGCAACAGCCAUUAUCAAGAAUCUGGUACAAGGUCAGCAUGACCCAUAAAGGUUCCUUUGCCUCUGAGAGGUACUGAGUCUAUAGAAACAUUCUGAAUGUGAAAACUGAGUUUUCAGGUGAUUUCUCUUCUUCUUCCUUUUGGCUCAUUUUUUAUUUGUUAUACUUUUCAAUUAC